GACUGUAGAAGGAAUGCCAAUAGUAAAGAUGGAAAUCCCCUCACCCCCAUCCUUCCCCUCCUAAGUCCCUUAGCCUCUCCCUGAAGACCUUGUGCCAUUAGAGCGAAUUAUAUUCAACUGGUUUCUAUGCCCUGGUGGCUGGAUACGCCACACCCUCUGGGGAAGCUACAUUCACCAAUCAUUGUUUCCUGGACCAAGUGGAUGAGACAACUGGCCACUGCCCCCACGCCCCAGCAGCCCUGUCACACUGCCCCAGUCGGAGAUGAGACUCAGAAGUACCCGUAGUUGCAGCCAAAAGUGCUGAGUUGAGUACCAGAAUGGGUAUGUGGCGAUCAAGAGAUAACCUGGAGCGUUCACUCACUCCUUCAAUGUGGGACCCAGGGAUCAAACUCACGUCCUCAGCACUUGACAGCAAGUGCCUUUAUUUUGCCCCUGAGCCAUCUCACUGACUCUGGCACGCCAUAUAUUUAAUCAGUAACUUUUUUUUUCUUGUUAGUAAU